rnacentral:rRNA from 1 species
UACAGAGGUCUCAAGCGUUGUUCGGAUUCAUUGGGCGUAAAGGGUGCGUAGGUGGCAUGGUAAGUCGGAUGUGAAAUCCCGGGGCUCAACCCCGGAACUGCAUUCGAUACUGCUGCGCUAGAGUACUGGAGAGGAGAUUGGAAUUUACGGUGUAGCAGUGAAAUGCGUAGAUAUCGUAAGGAAGACCAGUGGCGAAGGCGGCUAUCUGGACAGUAACCGACGCUGAGGCGCGAAAGCUAGGGGAGCAAACAGG